GACAUCCAGAGAACUUAGCAGAGAUGCUUUGGUGCCCUUCGGGAACUCUGAGACAGGUGCUGCAUGGCUGUCGUCAGCUCGUGUUGUGAAAUGUUGGGUUAAGUCCCGNAACGAGCGCAACCCUUAUCCUUUGUUGCCAGCGAUUCGGUCGGGAACUCAAAGGAGACUGCCGGUGAUAAACCGGAGGAAGGUGGGGAUGACGUCAAGUCAUCAUGGCCCUUACGGCCAGGGCUACACACGUGCUACAAUGGCGCAUACAAAGAGAAGCGACCUCGCGAGAGCAAGCGGACCUCAUAAAGUGCGUCGUAGUCCGGAUUGGAGUCUGCAACUCGACUCCAUGAAGUCGGAAUCGCUAGUAAUCGUAGAUCAGAAUGCUACGGUGAAUACGUUCCCGGGCCUUGUACACACCGCCCGUCACACCAUGGGAGUGGGUUGCAAAAGAAGUAGGUAGCUUAACCUUCGGGAGGGCGCUUACCACUUUGUGAUUCAUGACUGGGGUGAAGUCGUAACAAGGUAAGCGUACUACA
rnacentral:rRNA from 1 species